rnacentral:snRNA from 1 species
GUGCUCACUUUAGUAGCACAUAUGCUAAAACUGGAAAGACAGAGAGGGUUAGCAUGGCCCCUGCAUAGUAGUGACAAAGUUUAAUGAAAUAUUUCAUAUUUUU